CCUCAGAUAGUACCAAGCUGUACAUAGAGACACACAUCUUUGAUAAAGUAGGCAAAGAGACAAACGGCGAUAACUAAUAUAAUAGGACAAUUAGAACAAAUACUGUAAUGAAAGUUAUGUGAAUGUCACCUUUCUCUCUCAUAAGGUCUUACUGUUUGGUACUCACCCUUCUUCUCGCGAUGAUGGGAGAGGAAGUGAGGUGGAUGACACAGGCGUUGCGAUUUAGCAUUGGGCUAGUGUGGACCUUCUGAUGACACAUCAGGAGAAUCAUCUGCUCCCAGUGACCCUGGAUCAUCAGCAAUGACGGAGUGGAUGGCUGGGUGUCAGGAGCAGACGAUGUCCGUGGUUGGGGAUCCCAGGCAGUGUCUUUGGACUGCAGCUGACAGAGGGUAACUGAAUCCUCAUAGAGCAGCACCACAGAUAAAAACUUAAGAAGAUUGAGAGUAGACCCGAGGUGCAGCCUUAUUUUCCUUCUCAAAGAAUGUGAUGGCUACUUUUUGCUGGGCAGUUUCACUGAAAAGGUUUAUCUGUGCUCAGGCUGUCGUGAAGCUGUGCCUUUACUGACCUGCUGCUCUGAGGACGUAAGGCCUCAUCUCAGAUCUACAAAACCGGAAUCUGCACAGUGACAAGAUCCCCACGCGUUAGCUCCAAAGGUGAUGUGCGCUGCCCCAGCAGACAAUCCACCAGCGCUCCCUCUGCAGUGGCCCUCAGAAGGCCCGCCCUCUUCCCUGGAUACCACCGAGGAAAAGGUCAUACAGGGAAGAGCUCUGGCAGUUUGCUUCUACUCGGUCUGGCUUUGGGGAAAUAGUUUAAUUUCCAGGUUUCUGUUUGCUGUUUCGUAUUCUGUGACAUGCCUUUUGCAGGUUAGCAUGUUGUGACUUCCUCUUAUCUGUUGACUUUGAGCCCAAAUCAUUACUUAGGAGGAGAAAGUUUCCUCCUUUACCCAUGAGACAAAUAUCCACCCCACCAGCACAUACUUAUCCUGGCCUAACUCACCCCAACUAAAGUAAUUUAAUUUGCUUCAAUUUAAGCUACUAUACACUAGAUUGAUACAGAUCCAGUUGCCACCGAAAUAUCUUAGGUAAAAAUAAACAAUCAUUAACAUAUUAGUUGAUUUACACAUCAUAUUUUUCCAAAGGAAAAACUGUAAUGGACUGCUAUUCAUUAAAUAGAGUAGAUCAUGUCUUUAGCUUCCAGAAUACUGCUUAGGAUUACGGCACACUGUACAUUUCUGCUGCAACUAUAUAAAUAUGUACAUGCUUAAAUUUAUCUUUAACAGUCAGAGAAGAAUAUUAAAAAUAAGUAUAACUUUGAUUUACAACUUACAAAUCUCUUCAUUCACAUGAAUUCAUUAAAAUAUGAAGUCUAUGCAGCUUUCAGUUUAAAAGAUCUGUUCUUGGUAAAUUGGUUCUUAUCAUAGAUUUUUGUCAAUUUCUUUGAAAUCCGUCAGCGUAAAAGUGGGUGUACUCUCAUUUAUCAUGCAAUAGAUGUAUCUAGGAUGAUUGUUCCAUCAUUGCUCCUGUACUUGGGUGCGCUAAGGGUUUAAGUCAAGGAGAUCCCUGUGUUUCCCUAGAAUUCCUUCUCAAGACGUAUGUUACGAUCAGUGUGUUCAGCCUGAGUUGGCACACGGUACAGACAGAGAGGGACCAACUCCCCAGAGCUGACAACACUCAGGGCUGAUAUUCUCAUUCAACACCUCACUUCCGAGACAGGUGAGACACUGCAGGCUUAGGCGUGAGGGAGCCAGAUUACCGCUCACCAUCUAACACGCUUUCAAACAGCUUAGUGACAAAAGGUGAUGAAGGACUGAGGAUAAACAUUGUAAAACAGCUAAACUUGGUCCUGGAAAUAACGUGAAAGGUAUUUAGAUACUAAGAACUGUCACUUCUUUCAGAAUAAAAUAAGAGGAAGUAGAACACGAUCUUCCAUGAUGUGCCUGUUGAUUUAACUGUAAGACAUGUCGGCAGUUUUUUUCAUAAUCCCUGAGCGUAUACAUUUUUCCAAAUACACGUCGGUAAAAACCUACCGGAAGUAAAAGCUUAGGACUGAUGACCAACCGUUAUUAAGUGUUUAAUAAUAAAUAUAUAAAUAAUAAACAAUAAAAUCAGUGUAUAAGUAACAAAUAUUAAAUGUUUAAUAAUGGCAGAUUAUUAUUAAAUGUUAUUUAUAACUAUUAAUUUUAAAGUCAUCAGUAGACCACUGAAAUAAAAAGUACUUUUCCUCUAAUCAUUGCCUCUAUUAAUGAAGUACAACCAAAAAC